AUUGAACGCUGGCGGCAGGCCUAACACAUGCAAGUCGAACGAGUGGCGGACGGGUGAGUAAUGUCUGGGCAACUGCCUGAUGGAGGGGGAUAACUACUGGAAACGGUAGCUAAUACCGCAUACCAUCAGAUGUGCCCAGAUGGGAUUAGCUAGUUGGUGGGGUAACGGCUCACCAAGGCGACGAUCCCUAGCUGGUCUGAGAGGGUGAUCGGCCACACUGGGACUGAGAAACGGCCCAGACUCCUACGGGAGGCAGCAGUAGGGAAUCUUCGGCAAUGGACGAAAGUCUGACCGAGCAACGCCGCGUGAGUGAAGAAGGUUUUCGGGUUGUAAAGUACUUUCAGCGGGGAGGCGUUACCCGCAGAAGAAGCACCGGCUAACUCCGUGCCAGCAGCCGCGGUAAUAC
rnacentral:rRNA from 1 species